UACAGAGGGUGCGAGCGUUAAUCGGAAUUACUGGGCGUAAAGCGCGCGUAGGCGGCUUUGCAAGUCGAGUGUGAAAUCCCCAGGCUUAACCUGGGAACUGCAUUCGAGACUGCAUAGCUAGAGUAUGGGAGAGGGAAGUGGAAUUUCAGGUGUAGCGGUGAAAUGCGUAGAUAUCGGGAGGAAGGCCGGUGGCGAAGGCGGCGCUCUGGAACAUUUCUGACGCUGAGGCUCGAAAGCGUGGGGAGCAAACAGG
rnacentral:rRNA from 1 species